rnacentral:lncRNA from 1 species
UUUUGAAAAGGUUUUUAAAAAUUGAUUUGAAUGCACAAGGCAUAAAACAUUUUAUAACUUGGGAAUAAUUAAUCAAAGUUAAACUUGUAAAAGAUUUACAUGUUUGUUGUGCGUUCAGUCGCCCGAGUCGUAUCGGGUUUAAGGUUAAAUGGCACACCACUUAGUAUAAGUCCGCGGCGGGAAGCCAACGUUUAUACCUUAAUAAUAUGGACAUAAUACCGGGUGUACGCCUACACCCGGGUGUCAAGGUCGUGGCCAAAAAUGAUGCCAAGGAUAUCCGGGACAUGGUCAUUAAGCUCCCAAAGGCGUAAAAACAAACAAAACCAGGUUUUUAAACGGGUCACAUUGAUAGUACCCAACUACUAAUGAGUUGGGGUCAAUUGCCCGACCAAGCGGUAUUUUAUAUACCCCGUAUACCACCAAGCAAGUACGGAUAG